rnacentral:rRNA from 1 species
CUACGGGACGCUCCAGUGAGGAAUAUUGCACAAUGGGGGGAACCCUGAUGCAGCAACGCCGCGUGGAGGAUGACGCAUUUCGGUGUGUAAACUCCUUUUAUAUGUCAAGAAAAUGACGGUAGCAUAUGAAUAAGCACCGGCUAACUCCGUGCCAGCAGCCGCGGUAAUACGGAGGGUGCAAGCGUUACUCGGAAUCACUGGGCGUAAAGGACGCGUAGGCGGGUUGGAAAGUCAGGUGUGAAAUCCUACAGCUUAACUGUAGAACUGCACUUGAAACUUCUAAUCUAGAGUAUGGGAGGGGGAGAUGGAAUUAGUGGUGUAGGGGUAAAAUCCGUAGAUAUCACUAGGAAUACCUAAAGCGAAGGCGAUCUCCUGGAACAUUAUUGACGCUGAGGCGUGAAAGCGUGGGGAGCAAACAGGAUUAGAUACCCGCGUAGUC